AGCGGCGGAUGGGUGAGUAACACGUGGGGAACCUGCCCCUAAGUCUGGGAUACCAUUUGGAAACAGGUGCUAAUACCGGAUAAUAAAGCAGAUCGCAUGAUCAGCUUUUGAAAGGCGGCGUAAGCUGUCGCUAAGGGAUGGCCCCGCGGUGCAUUAGCUAGUUGGUAAGGUAACGGCUUACCAAGGCGACGAUGCAUAGCCGAGUUGAGAGACUGAUCGGCCACAUUGGGACUGAGACACGGCCCAAACUCCUACGGGAGGCAGCAGUAGGGAAUCUUCCACAAUGGACGCAAGUCUGAUGGAGCAACGCCGCGUGAGUGAAGAAGGUUUUCGGAUCGUAAAGCUCUGUUGUUGGUGAAGAAGGAUAGAGGUAGUAACUGGCCUUUAUUUGACGGUAAUCAACCAGAAAGUCACGGCUAACUACGUGCCAGCAGCCGCGGUAAUACGUAGGUGGCAAGCGUUGUCCGGAUUUAUUGGGCGUAAAGCGAGCGCAGGCGGAAAAAUAAGUCUAAUGUGAAAGCCCUCGGCUUAACCGAGGAACUGCAUCGGAAACUGUUUUUCUUGAGUGCAGAAGAGGAGAGUGGAACUCCAUGUGUAGCGGUGGAAUGCGUAGAUAUAUGGAAGAACACCAGUGGCGAGGGCGGCUCUCUGGUCUGCAACUGACGCUGAGACUCGAAAGCAUGGGUAGCGAACAGGAUUAGAUACCCUGGUGGUCCAUGCCGUAAACGAUGAGUGCUAAGUGU
rnacentral:rRNA from 1 species